UACGUAGGGGGCAAGCGUUGUCCGGAUUCAUUGGGCGUAAAGAGCUCGUAGGCGGUUCAGCAAGUCGGGUGUGAAACCUCCAGGCUCAACCUGGAGACGCCACCCGAUACUGCUGUGACUUGAGUCCGGUAGGGGACCACGGAAUUCCUGGUGUAGCGGUGAAAUGCGCAGAUAUCAGGAGGAACACCGGUGGCGAAGGCGGUUCUCUGGGCAUGUCCUGACGCUGAGGAGCGAAAGUGUGGGAGGCGAACAGG
rnacentral:rRNA from 1 species